UACAGAGGGUGCAAGCGUUAAUCGGAAUUACUGGGCGUAAAGCGCGCGUAGGUGGUUUGUUAAGUUGGAUGUGAAAUCCCCGGGCUCAACCUGGGAACUGCAUCCAAAACUGGCAAGCUAGAGUAGGGCAGAGGGUGGUGGAAUUUCCUGUGUAGUGGUGAUAUGCGUAGAUAUCGGGAGGAACACCUGUGGCGAAGGCGGCUUUCUGGGCCCUACCUGACGCUGAGACGCGAAAGCGUGGGGAGCGAACCGG
rnacentral:rRNA from 1 species